rnacentral:lncRNA from 1 species
GUCCUCAUAAUCAAGGAGUAUGGAGACACUGGUAUGGCAUACAGGUGAGAUGUAAUGGUACAUCUGCACUGAACGUGACCGACUCCGGAGCUAUUUCUACUGUCAAGAUUUGCUCCGAUGGGAUAUGGAUAUAAAUGUCCCUCCGACCUGAGACCGUCACGGUGACUUGCAAGCAACUCACUGUACUUAGGCACUGGACUACCUGAAUUUCUAAUUCAAUGACAGAAGGCUGCUGGGUGUAGUCAAGUACUUGACUUGUCGGUGCGUGUGUCAAGAUGGGAUUGACCACUCCAGUUUAGG